rnacentral:rRNA from 1 species
AUUGAACGCUGGCGGCAGGCCUAACACAUGCAAGUCGAACGAGUGGCGGACGGGUGAGUAAUGUCUGGGAAACUGCCCGAUGGCUGGGGAUAACUACUGGAAACGGUAGCUAAUACCGCAUACCAUCGGAUGUUCCCAGAUGGGAUUCGCUAGUAGGUGGGGUAACGGCUAACCUGGUCGACGAGCCCUAGCUGGUCUGAGAGGAUGACCAGCCAAACGGGAACUGAGCAACGGUCCAGAGUCCUAGGGAGGGCAGAGGGGGGGAAUAUUGCACAAGGGGGGAAGGCCUAAUGCGGCAAGGCCGGGUGGAGGAAGAAGGCCUUGGGGUUGUAAAGUACUUUAAGCGAGGAGGGGUUACUCGCAGAAGAAGCAUCGGCUAACUCCGUGCCAGCAGCCGCGGUAUUC